rnacentral:lncRNA from 1 species
CCUGUUUCGUUGCAAUGGUAAGCCUCUCUAAUUCCUCUCUAAUUUGGUUAGUUUAGGUAGAUUAGGUGGUUAGUAUAGGGAAUUUAGAUAAGUUUACGGAUCUUAUGUUAUUUAGUGUUGAUUAGGUGGAUAAUGUUGGAAAAUAUACUGUUGACGGAAAUUUAAAAAAUUAUAUUUUUUUCUCAGGUUCGAAAAGGUAGACUUACUGCCCAUUACAGAGAGAUGUUCGGUGAGCCAGGUAGUCACCAACCGACGACUCACAUGCCGAGGCGGAUGUAACGGUGAGGAGUGAUGAAUUCUACCGGGCGAUUAACGACCCUUAGUUCUUUUUAAUUUCGGUUCUUGUAUUAUGAAUUCAAAACUUAUUUAUAUAUAAAAUAUUUUGGUUUUGAUUUUUUUAGAAUUUUAAUUUUAUUAAUAAUUUAAAUAAUUUUUUUAAUUAUAAUUUUUUUUAUUUCUGUAAAAUAACGAAACGAAGUAAUUUCGUAGCUAUUUUGCGACUUCUUUACGUGGAAGCUUAACGAGGUUUUUACGAGGAAAUGUUUACAAGGAAAUGACGUGGAAAAUUCACGUGGUCUUUACGAGGAAAGCUAUCAAGGUAUUUACGUUUACUUUACGAGUAUUUACUUUCGAGUUAUUUACGUGGCUUUAACGAGGAAUGGCUUUCGAGGUAUUUACGAGGAAAUUUAGCGACGUCCUUACGUGGAAGCUUUACGUGGUCUUUACGACGAAAUAUUCUUCUUCGCUUUUACGACGAAAUUAUUUCCUCGCUACGUUACGACGAAUUAGCGAGGAUAUAUGCGUUACGACAAACGUAUAACGACGAAACGGGUUUCCUCGCUAAUUCCUCGUAACACUGCUUUUACGACGAAAUCACGAGGAAAACUGCCCUCGUAAAACUUGUGUUUUCUUGUAGUGAAGCUUUUAAACCUUAAAUUUUUGGGUAAACUAUAAGCCAUAGGUUUAGGAUUUAUCUAAGUGUUUAGAAUUUGAGAUUAAUGAUUUAGUGUUUUCAAUAUUUAAUGUUUAGUGUUUAUGAUUUGGGGCUUAAGAUAGGUUUAGAGUUUAUCCAAAUAUUUAGAGUUUAAUAUUUAAGGUUUAUGUUUUGCAGACGACGUUAAAAAUAUUUUUUUUAAAUUUCUCUUUUUAGCAACUAUUACUAUUUUUAUUUAUUUUUAUUUUUUAUUUUUAAAAUAUAAUAUAACUUUUCUUAUUUUUUAAAAAAUAUGGAAUACGAAAUAACAAAAUAUUAUUUGUCGGUAAACCUACAGAUUCACAUAGAGGGUAAAACCAAGAAAACUUAUACAUACAGUCCCUUCAGUUAAAGCGCUGCUUAAUAGCUUUUGAAUGUUCUCUUGACAACUUUAUUAAGCGUGAGGACUGAUAACACAUGUGCAUACAAAGUUUGUUUUGACAGUAUUUUUUAUGGGAGGAGUUUGAACUAGGUCGUCCUAAUAUCUC